UUUACUGCGCGUCUCCUUUUGACUUGUGAGUCACAAAAUUUCUACUUCCCCCGAGACUGAGACAGACAGAAAAUGGCGAAGGGAAGCGAAAGUGUGGGUGAGGGCGGUACCGAAAGAGAUGAGCGAAGCACUGAGGCGCACGGUAGCCAGCCUGGAGAAUCUGGAAGCAGAGCUGCCGAAUAUUCUGUCUCUCUCAAACCCUUUCAUCCUCUCCAAAAUGCCUCCUCUUCACGCGCUCACUCCCUCUUAACCCUUGCCAACAUCACUUCCACCCUUUUCUCAUUGAAGUUGAGAUGCAAGGGGACUAUUCCAGAUUAUCAUCCCCUCAAAUCUGAACUUGUUAAAAGUUUACCAACGCAAACUGGAACCUUUUGGGGAUGUAGGUCAAGCUCUACCACUGCCUUCUUCUUCUUGGAUGAUCAGGCUUCUGUUGACCACUCUUUACGUGACCUCACUUCAGUACAAAGAAAAGAAAUGGCUAACAUGAGCAUUGGGGAGGUACCAAUGAUGAGCAACUAUCAGGAGCAGGCUGGUCAGAAGAGAAAGCAUCCAUCUUCUGAAGAACACCCUGUUCAAGUUUAUUCUGAGGUGCACAUGAAGAAAGAACCACUUGAGGUUUUUGGUCAUAACAAUGAAAAAACUGAGGAACCAAUAGUAAUUGACAUUUCAGAUGAUGACGAGUGAUGAUCAUUUUGAGCUGCUUGUGCAGUUGUGCUGCCCUUAUUUUUCAGAAUCUGGUUGACUUACUCAUUCCAGAACUAAGAUUCAUCUUAUGCUCAAAUUGAAGAAUCUCAACUCAGAACUGAAGUAUGCGGAUUCUGGAGAAGUUUCUAGUUAUAUCCAAUCAAGAAUUGCUCUAGCCUGCAAUAGGCAGCUCUAGCCUUGCUAACUUUGUAACUUGUAUAAAUGUUAAGCUUUGUUGAUUUGGUGUGAUUGGUAAAAUUACAUUAACCUCCUCUGAGCCUCUGAUGUUAAGGGACAUUACACAUACGUCUUUAUUUCUAAAAGUCUUUACAGAACUCUUCUAAGAUUUAAGUUAUAUCUGACAUCUGGUAACUAUAUUUUUCUAAAAUGGACGCUGACCUCUCACUGGAUCUGGGGUUGUCAUUGUCAACAUAUAAUUCAUGGGGUGCUAUGUGUAAUUUCACCUAAAAUUCAAGGGAGGUUGGUGUACUUUAUCUUAUUUAUAACUUGUUAUCUUUGAAAGCUUAGCGUAUGCUUGGUGUUAAGGUUUGAUUAUACAAUGUAUAAUUAUUCAUUUAUUUUUGUCAUGUUAAAUUAUUAUAUUCUCAAAAGAUUUC